rnacentral:lncRNA from 1 species
AAGAAAGAAAUAAGAUUGACAGAAAUGGUAGGAUUAAGUUGCAGUGUAAACUCUUCUAAACAGAAUCAGGAAUCUUAGAGCCAAUUCACUUUUGUGCCCAUGCACUGGACCCACCCUACCAACUCCCAGGCCUGGGUCGACCGGAAAAUGGGUGAAAUAUUCGACUCUGUCAACAGCGUGGGCUCCUCGCUGAGUCCAUACCUCCGCCCCCUUUUGCUGCAGACAAAGCACUGGCAGCCUUAUGGGCAUCCACCACGAAAAGAUCCCAAGGUCUAAACCUCCAAGAUGAAAGCAAAUCCAUGCACAGUUGGCAAAAGUGAUGUUUGUCCAAAUUGAUCUGCGUAAAAAUAGAGGGCUCCUUGGCCAAGGAACAUGAUCC